rnacentral:rRNA from 1 species
UACGAAGGGGGCUAGCGUUGUUCGGAAUCACUGGGCGUAAAGGGCGCGUAGGCGGCCGAUCAAGUCGGGGGUGAAAGCCUGUGACUCAACCACAGAAUUGCCUUCGAUACUGUUUGGCUUGAGACCGGAAGAGGUUAGUGGAACUGCGAGUGUAGAGGUGAAAUUCGUAGAUAUUCGCAAGAACACCAGUGGCGAAGGCGGCUGACUGGUCCGGUUCUGACGCUGAGGCGCGAAAGCGUGGGGAGCAAACAGG